rnacentral:lncRNA from 1 species
CAAAAACUCAUCUUUACUCACAAAAAAGUAAUCUUUCCCAUCAACCUCCCCCUCCCUCUUCCCCCUCGUCGUCGCAGUAACAACAAAAUGUAUAUUCUCCCUAACUUCCCUAAGCCUAUUAAUCACAGCAUCUUUACCAACCCCACUAGGUCCACUAACCACAAUGAUCAGCGGAUGCGGUUCAGGUGCCAAUGCAUCCGAACUAAACGGAGACCCAACAGCAGCCUCUAAGGCUCUAUACAGUUCCGCUUUGUCGGCACUUUCAGGGUGUGGAAUAUGCACAUGGGUCGGUCUUUUUCCUUCUGCCAUAGCAGGAAAUGACGAUGAAACAAAACGUUUGGACAAAAAAACGCGGGAUUUCAAGAUUGUUGGUGUUGGGAGAACAAAGGGGUUAGAGUGGAAAUUGGGAAAAGGGGUUGUGAGAUUUUGAUAGAGGAGAAAUGGGUUGCGGUUAGAAUUUGUUAAGGAGGUGUAUAGCCUGCGAAAUAGCAUCGAGAGAAAAUGGUGUGUAUUUUGGAGAGUGGAUGGAGAAUUUGAUGUAAUGAGAGUUAAUGGGGGCCUAUUUGUUGAAGAUUUUUUGGAUGGGAGAAGAGAAUUUCAGUUAGGGUUUAUCCAAAAUCCCAAUUCUUCUCUGUUCAUAUGUGGAACAAACAGGGAUAAUUCUACAUCUGCUCAGUUAAUUUUUUUUAAAGAAAAGAAAAGAAAGAGUGCUUAUUUCACUUGAUACAAUGUUAAAAGAAUGAAGAUUUUUUAUUCAUUUUGUGAUUUUAAACUAAAAUUAUUUUAAAUGUAUUAAAAUUUUCUUUAAUUUUAUAGUAUUAAACAUAUUAUAUAAAAAGUUAAAAUUAGAGUAUUGUAAAUUAUUCAAUAAUACCUCUUCUCAUGGUGUCUGGAAGAUUGAGAUAGUUGUGCAUCGCUUUUCAUCCCAUGCUGAGAAGAAUACAGAGAGAGAGUCUCAUACAUACACUGAAUGAUGAUAAGACUAUCUUUUCCAACAAUUGAGCAAAUUAAAUUUUAACAGAGCUCUGGUCAAUUGAAUAUAGACAUAGAAAGAGAAGCACCGUCUAUCUUUAGGCAGAACAACGAUUAAUAGGCUUAACAGAAUUGGCAACACAUAACAUAUUACUCAAAACGAACAUUAAUAGAUACACCAAGUUCCAGACGGAGCACAAUGGAACAGAGAUGCAAAUUGAUGAAAUUAUUAACAUAAGCAAGAAUUGCUUUUACUUCCACGCAAUAUCUCAAAUCAAGAUGGUAAAAUGCUUGGCUUAAUAAAACAAAAUAAAAGCAACCUCUUAACGUUAACAAAUUGCACCUUAAACACUCCAUUGCCGGUUCAUGAUGAGGCAGUAGGUACAGUAACCACAGGAAAAACUGACGAUGGUAAAAAUUGCUAACUUCCCUCUGAUCUGAAGGGCAAUAUCACAACUAUGAUGAGAAUCACGUAUAGAGUGCCACCCCUGUUGAGCCUAAACCUAUGUGGUAUUUACCACGCCAAUCAAGAAAGCUUUUCUUUUUUAAUAAAAAAAUAAAACAAAAUCUUCCCUUCCCCUUCAGGACGAAAUCUGACUACCUCCAAAGAACAACCAUAACAAAUUUCAGAACAAGCUAGUAUCAAAUUAGAACGCAAAGGAAAACCAUAACAAACAACUAUGUCAUGGAUCAAACUCAAGAAAUAACAUUUCAUCUACUUCAACCAACCAAGGGCUAGACAGCAUUAACAAAAGUAGCAAGAACAAUUUUGAUCAAGAAUCUGUUAUUUGUGCUUGAAAUGGUCUCCUUGGCAAUGCAACGACGGGACAAAGUUACAUAAAUCCAUAAAUAGAAUACAAGAAAACAUUAAGAGUGUUAGCUCAACUUAAUCAAAAACAGACUCGAAACCAGAUAUUCGCUAAAUCUUUACCGUUCUUUGCCUCACUUUAGCUUUCUCAGCAUCAAUAAUAGACUCCACCAACUUCACGGAAUUCUCCAACUCCCCUUCUCUAUUCACAACAACAUAAUCAAACUCCUUCAUAUGCCUCACUUCCUCCCUCGCCGUAGCAAUUCUCACAAGCAAACUCUCUUUACUCUCAGUCUUCCUAUCAAUCAACCUCUUAACCAACGCAUCCUCACUCUCCGCAACCAAAAACACAAACACAGCAGCAUUUCUCAAUAUCCUCCUCAAUGUCGCUGCCCCUUGUAUAUCAACUCUCAACACUAUAUCCAAUCCUUUCGCCAUAUGCUCCCUAAUCUGCUCCUUCGGUAUACCCUUAUAAUCCCCAUAUACCAAUGCAUACUCCAACAACUCAUGUCUCUCAAUCAUCCCCAAAAACUCAUCUUUACUCACAAAAAAGUAAUCUUUCCCAUCAACCUCCCCCUCCCUCUUCCCCCUCGUCGUCGCAGUAACAACAAAAUGUAUAUUCUCCCUAACUUCCCUAAGCCUAUUAAUCACAGCAUCUUUACCAACCCCACUAGGUCCACUAACCACAAUGAUCAGCGGAUGCGGUUCAGGUGCCAAUGCAUCCGAACUAAACGGAGACCCAACAGCAGCCUCUAAGGCUCUAUACAGUUCCGCUUUGUCGGCACUUUCAGGGUGUGGAAUAUGCACAUGGGUCGGUCUUUUUCCUUCUGCCAUAGCAGGAAAUGACGAUGAAACAAAACGUUUGGACAAAAAAACGCGGGAUUUCAAGAUUGUUGGUGUUGGGAGAACAAAGGGGUUAGAGUGGAAAUUGGGAAA